UAGGGAAUCUUCCACAAUGGACGAAAGUCUGAUGGAGCAACGCCGCGUGAGUGAAGAAGGGUUUCGGCUCGUAAAACUCUGUUGUUAAAGAAGAACAUAUCUGAGAGUAACUGUUCAGGUAUUGACGGUAUUUAACCAGAAAGCCACGGCUAGCUACGUGUCAG
rnacentral:rRNA from 1 species